UAGGGAAUCUUCCACAAUGGACGCAAGUCUGACGGAGCAACGCCGCGUGAGUGAAGAAGGUCUUCGGAUCGUAAAGCUCUGUUGUUGGUGAAGAAGGAUAGAGGCAGUAACUGGUCUUUAUUUGACGGUAAUCAACCAGAAAGUCACGGCUAACUACGUGCCAGCAGCCGCGGUAAUACGUAGGUGGCAAGCGUUGUCCGGAUUUAUUGGGCGUAAAGCGAGCGCAGGCGGAAUGAUAAGUCUGAUGUGAAAGCCCACGGCUCAACCUUGGAACUGCAUCGGAAACUGUCAUUCUUGAGUGCAGAAGAGGAGAGUGGAACUCCAUGUGUAGCGGUGGAAUGCGUAGAUAUAUGGAAGAACACCAGUGGCGAAGGCGGCUCUCUGGUCUGCAACUGACGCUGAGGCUCGAAAGCAUGGGUAGCGAACAGGAUUAGAUACCCUGGUAGUCCAUGCCGUAAACGAUGAGCGCUAGGUGUUGGGGACUUUCCGGUCCUCAGUGCCGCAGCAAACGCAUUAAGCGCUCCGCCUGGGGAGUACGACCGCAAGGUUGAAAC
rnacentral:rRNA from 1 species